AAGAUGUUAGUUAAAAUUAUAAUAUUUGAUUUGCAUUCAUAAGGUGCUAUACGGCAUAUCUUA
rnacentral:tRNA from 1 species